CGAGCGUCUCUAGCUAUGUUGAGACGCGGCAUACGGCUCAGUAACACGUGGCUAACCUACCCUCAGGACAGGGACAACCCCGGGAAACUGGGGCUAAUACCUGAUAGGUGAGGAUGCCUGGAAUGGUUUCUCACUCAAAGGGCUUUAGAAACAUGCUUUUAAAGUCGCCUGGGGAUGGGGCCGCGACCGAUCAGGUUGUUGGUGAGGUAAUGGCUCACCAAGCCUUUAACCGGUACGGGCCGUGAGAGCGGUAGCCCGGAGAUGGGUACUGAGACAAGGACCCAGGCCCUACGGGGCGCAGCAGUCGCGAAAACUCCGCAAUGCACGGAAGUGUGACGGGGCUACCCCGAGUGCCAUCCGCUGAGGAUGGCUUUUCCUUGGUAUAACUAGCCAGGGGAAUAAGGAGAGGGCAAGACUGGUGUCAGCCGCCGCGGUAAUACCAGCUCUCCGAGUGGUAGGGAUGAUUAUUGGGCUUAAAGCGUCCGUAGCCGGCUUAGCAAGUCUCCUGUUAAAUUCAGCGACCUAAUCGUUGAGCCGCGGGAGAUACUACUAGGCUAGGAGGCGGGAGAGGUCGACGGUACUUCUGGGGUAGGGGUGAAAUCCUAUAAUCCCGGGAGGACCACCAGUGGCGAAGGCUGUCGACUAGAACGCGCUCGACGGUGAGGGACGAAAGCUGGGGGAGCAAACCGGAUUAGAUACCCGGGUAGUCCCAGCUGUAAACGAUGCGGGCUAGGUGUUGGGGGUGGCUACGUGCCACUUCAGUGCCGCAGGGAAGCCAUUAAGCCCGCCGCCUGGGGGAGUACGGCCGCAAGGCUGAAACUUAA
rnacentral:rRNA from 1 species